AUUGAACGCUGGCGGCAGGCCUAACACAUGCAAGUCGAACGAGUGGCGGACGGGUGAGUAAUGUCUGGGCAACUGCCUGAUGGAGGGGGAUAACUACUGGAAACGGUAGCUAAUACCGCAUACCAUCAGAUGUGCCCAGAUGGGUUUUGCUUGUUGGUGGGGUAACGUCUCACCAAGGCGACGAUCCCUAGCUGGUCUGAGAGGAUGACCAGCCACACUGGAACUGAGACACGGCCCAGACGCCUACGGGAGGCAGCAGUGGGGAAUAUUGAACAAGGGGCGAAAGCCUGAUGCAGCCAUGCCGCGUGUGUGAAGAAGGCCUUCGGGUUGUAAAGUACUUUCAGCGGGGAGGCGUUACCCGCAGAAGAAGCACCGGCUAACUCCGUGCCAGCAGCCGCGGUAAUAC
rnacentral:rRNA from 1 species